rnacentral:rRNA from 1 species
CCCCAGCGCCACAAGUGGCAAUCACGAUUAUUGGGCCUAAAGCGUUCGUAGCCGGCAAAGUAAAUCUUUUGUGAAAUCGUCCCGCUUAACGGAACGGCGUGCAGGAGACACUGCUUUGCUUGAGACCGGGAGGGGUCAGAGGUAUUCGUGGGGGACUGGUAAAAUGGAUUAAUCCCACGAGGACCACCGAUGGCGAAGGCAUCUGACCAGAACGGAUCUGACGGUGAGGAACGAAAGCUAGGGGAGCAAACCGG